UACGUAGGGUGCAAGCGUUGUCCGGAAUUAUUGGGCGUAAAGAGCUCGUAGGCGGUUCGUCGCGUCGGCUGUGAAAACCUGGGGCUCAACCCUGGGCCUGCAGCCGAUACGGGCAAGCUAGAAUUCGGUAGGGGAGACUGGAAUUCCUGGUGUAGCGGUGAAAUGCGCAGAUAUCAGGAGGAACACCGGUGGCGAAGGCGGGUCUCUGGGCCGAUAUUGACGCUGAGGAGCGAAAGCGUGGGGAGCGAACAGG
rnacentral:rRNA from 1 species